rnacentral:rRNA from 1 species
UCAUGGCUUACCGCGAAGAGACCGGUAAUUCCGGCAACGUUGGUAAACGAGGUGCAAGGUAAUCGAAUACUGGCGUAAAGCCCAGCAAGCGUUUUAAGUCAAAUGGAAUUCCCGGCUCAACCUGGAACUGCAUUUGAUACUGGCAAGCUGAGUCUCGUAGAGGGGUAGAAUUCCAGUGUAGCGGUGAAAUGCAUAGAAAUCUGAGGAAUACCGGUGGGAAAGGCGGCCCCCUGGACGAGACUGACGCUCAGGUGCGAAAGCGUGGGGAGCAAACAGGAUUAGAUACCCUGGUAGUCCACGCCGUAAACGAUGUCGACUUGGAGGUUGUGCCCUUGAGGCGUGGCUUCCGGAGCUAACGCGUUAAGUCGACCGCCUGGGGAGUACGGCCGCAAGGUUAAAACUCAAAUGAAUUGACGGGGGCCCGCACAAGCGGUGGAGCAUGUGGUUUAAUUCGAUGCAACGCGAAGAACCUUACCUGGUCUUGACAUCCACAGAACUUUCCAGAGAUGGAUUGGUGCCUUCGGGAACUGUGAGACAGGUGCUGCAUGGCUGUCGUCAGCUCGUGUUGUGAAAUGUUGGGUUAAGUCCCGCAACGAGCGCAACCCUUAUCCUUUGUUGCCAGCGGUCCGGCCGGGAACUCAAAGGAGACUGCCAGUGAUAAACUGGAGGAAGGUGGGGAUGACGUCAAGUCAUCAUGGCCCUUACGACCAGGGCUACACACGUGCUACGAUGGCGCAUACAAAGAGAAGCGACCUCGCGAGAGCAAGCGGACCUCAUAAAGUGCGUCGUAGUCCGGAUUGGAGUCUGCAACUCGACUCCAUGAAGUCGGAAUCGCUAGUAAUCGUGGAUCAGAAUGCCACGGUGAAUACGUUCCCGGGCCUUGUACACACCGCCCGUCACACCAUGGGAGUGGGUUGCAAAAGAAGUAGGUAGCUUAACCUUCGGGAGGGCGCUUACCACUUUGUGAUUCAUGACUGGGGUGAAGUCGUAACAAGGUAACCGUA